UUUCCUAAAGAUCCUUAUAUAUUUUUUGAGUUGCUUCGGUAAAUAAGGGAUAGAAAAUAAUUUCUCUUGGCUUGUUUUGUCACUAUAUGGCAUGGACUAUUCUGAAUAAUCUAAAUGAUGUUAUGUUUUUUGAAAAUACAAUGUCAGUAGCGGGAUUCCUUGAUGACCAUUUGUUGUUUAUUUAGUAAAUUAAUCUCUCUCUCUCUCUCUCUCUCUC
rnacentral:lncRNA from 1 species